rnacentral:rRNA from 1 species
UACGGAGGGGGCUAGCGUUGUUCGGAAUUACUGGGCGUAAAGCGCGCGUAGGCGGACCUGCAAGUCGGGGGUGAAAGCCCGAGGCUCAACCUCGGAACUGCCUUCGAUACUGCGGGUCUCGAGUCCGGGAGAGGUGAGUGGAAUUCCUAGUGUAGAGGUGAAAUUCGUAGAUAUUAGGAAGAACACCGGUGGCGAAGGCGGCCAUCUGGCUCGGUACUGACGCUCAGGCGCGAAAGCGUGGGGAGCAAACGGG